CCUGCAAGAACCGAAGUGGACAUAAAGAAGACCUUUUAGGGAUUCUGUGAUGUAAAGCAUGUAUUUGCUGAUUCAACAGAAGACCCUGAAGAUAUCUGCAUUGUGCUGGAAGAUGUGGAGGAGAUCCAUUACACUUUUAAGGUGCUCCAAAAAAUGAUUCUCGAGCUGAACUUGUGUAAAUUGUCUGCCAAAGCACAGGCGUAGAAAACAAAACUCUUCACUUAGGUGUGCUGUGUUUGAGGAUCCCUUUGUGAAUGCUGUUUUAUUUCCUUGUAUGCUCAUGUGAUUUUGUUGUAUCUGAAUUUUUGCACGAUGAGCAGAGGUGAUUACGUCUCUCAAUCACAUUUAAUAUAAUGUUUAAGAAAACAAAAUAAAAUAACAUUUUGUUAUAUUCUUA